AUUGAACGCUGGCGGCAGGCCUAACACAUGCAAGUCGAGCGGAACGGCGGACGGGCGAGUAAUGACUAGGAAUCUGCCUGGUAGUGGGGGCGAACGUACGGAAACGGGCGCUAAUACAGACUACUCUCAGAUGAGCCUAGGUCGGUUUAGCUAGUUGGUGGGGUAAAGGCCGACCAAGGCGACGAUCCGUAACUGGUCUGAGAGGGUGAACAGUCACACUGGGACUGAGACACGGUCCAGACUCCUACGGGAGGCAGCAGUGGGGAAUAUUGGACAAUGGGCGAAAGCCUGAUGCAGCCAUGCCGCGUGUGUGAAGAAGGUCUUCGGAUUGUAAAGCACUUUAAGUUGGGAGGCGUUACCAACAGAAGAAGCACCGGCUAACUCCGUGCCAGCAGCCGCGGUAAUUC
rnacentral:rRNA from 1 species